rnacentral:rRNA from 1 species
UACGAAGGGUGCAAGCGUUAAUCGGAAUUAUUGGGCGUAAAGAGCGUGUAGGCGGUUUGGUAGGUCCGCUGUGAAAACUCGAGGCUCAACCUCGAGACGCCGGUGGAAACCAUCAGACUAGAGUCCGGAAGAGGAGAGUGGAAUUCCUGGUGUAGCGGUGAAAUGCGCAGAUAUCAGGAAGAACACCCGUGGCUAAGGCGGCUCUCUAGUACGGUACUGACGCUGAGACGCGAAAGCGUGGGGAGCGAACAGG